AUUGAACGCUGGCGGCAGGCCUAACACAUGCAAGUCGAACGGUAACAGAAAGCAGCUUGCUGCUUUGCUGACGAGUGGCGGACGGAUGAGUAAUGUCUGGGAAACUGCCUGAUGGAGGGGGAUAACUACUGGAAACGGUAGCUAAUACCGCAUAACGUCGCAAGACCAAAGAGGGGGACCUACGGGCCUCUUGCCAUCGGAUGUGCCCAGAUGGGAUUAGCUAGUAGGUGGGGUAACGGCUCACCUAGGCGACGAUCCCUAGCUGGUCUGAGAGGAUGACCAGCCACACUGGAACUGAGACACGGUCCAGACUCCUACGGGAGGCAGCAGUGGGGAAUAUUGCACAAUGGGCGCAAGCCUGAUGCAGCCAUGCCGCGUGUAUGAAGAAGGCCUUCGGGUUGUAAAGUACUUUCAGCGGGGAGGAAGGGAGUAAAGUUAAUACCUUUGCUCAUUGACGUUACCCGCAGAAGAAGCACCGGCUAACUCCGUG
rnacentral:rRNA from 1 species